GUAUACGCCAGACCACCCUGAACGCGCCAAUCUCCUGUGAUCUCAGAAGCUAAGCGGGGACAAGACUGGUUAGUACUUGGAUGGGAUUCCGCCUAGGAAUACCGGGUGCUAUACG
rnacentral:rRNA from 1 species